CAACCCUCACGCCCCGCGUGGUCUUGGGCCCUCUGCCGGCGACGGCAGGCCCCAAAGCGAGUGGCGGCGCCCGAAGGCCCUGAACGUAGUACCAUCUCUCGUUACAGGCGCCCGAGGGACGCUGGCCAGCGAACCCCAACUCUCCAC
rnacentral:misc_RNA from 1 species